CUUUUGCCCCUACCUUUAGUGAUACAUUAGCCUUCCAAGUACGAGUGUGGGUGUCUGUGUAAGAAAGUUUCAGCUCUAAAGAUUCGGAUUUCCGGGUAUAGUUACUAGCAGAAUUCAUCGCAAUCACAAGUUUGCUUUCGUCGUAGAUCCUGCAAUUAUCAAGAUCAUACUUGAUAUUAUAAAAUUUCCUUUCCAAAACAGGCACUUCCACUCGAAGCUGGACUUCCUUUGUAAUAGAGGAGACAUCUGCGUUAAGGCAAUUAGUCUUUCCCUCCUUACUGAGGUUCUUGCAGAAGUUAUUGUUGCCCAAAUUGCGAAGAGCUAUUGUCUGGUCGUUAACUUUGAAGGGUNNNNNNNNNNNNNNNNNNNNNNNNNNNNNNNNNNNNNNNNNNNNNNNNNNNNNNNNNNNNNNNNNNNNNNNNNNNNNNNNNNNNNNNNNNNNNNNNNNNNGGUAGUGUCAUCAGAAUCCGCCCAAAUCCAAUUCGGACUCCGCCGCCAAAACUUAUUUGAACCAGCAGGCUUGAUGCGAAUGCUUCCAUCAUUAUUCAUGAAAACCUCCAUGGUCACACCCGCAUCACCAAUAUCACCAGAUGAAAAUUGCAAAUACGGAUGACCCCCGAUCUGACGAAGACAAAGAUACUGGCCAUUGUUUCCUUUGAAUGCCACAUGCCUUGGCAAAAACACAAGCGAUUCCCAAUCAAUGAUUGUGAACAUAUCACGGGAAUACUCAUCGAGAUGUUCGGACGUGAAGAGGUUGGGAGUUUCACGUAUUACCCAUAAAUGUUUUCUCGAUUGCACAUGCACAAUUUGGACAUCAGUUGCUGAAUCAUCUACGGAGAUAAGCUUGAACAAUGUGCACGACUUCUUGGAUCGGUCUUCCUCCGGCUUCCUGGCGGUCGCGGUGAUUCUGGUUUCAUCGGAAACCAAAUAUUUGUUGUUCUGACUGCUCCUUAUGUGCACUAAGCCAUCUAUGCCACCGCGUUGAGCAAUCUCAACCUCAAAUUUUGCAUAUGGGCUCGCAACCCGAGUUUCUGAAAAUUUGAGAUACCCAUCUUUAUAAUCUCCCUUUUCAUGGUCAAAGCCCAAGUAUUUGUUAUUCUGAUGGGAUUUGAGUACGAUAAACCUUGGCGACGCAAAUGGCUUAUUCGCAAGCAACUCCCAGUCGAUGACUGUGAAGAGAUCACAGGAAUUUCCAUCGAAAACUUUGUAGUUUGCCAACACACAGUUAUUAAACGUUGGAGGAUCUACCCACCAUAAGCAUAAAUAGCAUCCUGAUUGCACAUGCAUAAUUCGGAUCUUAUUUGUUACGGUGUCUACCGGGAUAAAUUUGAACAAAGUGCACGACUCCUUGGAUCGGCCUUCCUCCGGCUGGUCGGCUGCUGCAGAAAUCCAAUACUGCUCUUUUGAGUUUCCAGUGAUGGAAACAUUUUUGACUCGUUUGCAGUAUUUGUUGUUGUGGCAGCUCUUUAUGUGCACCAACCCAUCUUCCCCAUUGCAUUUGGCCCUUUCCACCUCAAAUUUUGUGUAUGGACUGAAAGCCAAAGUUUCCGAAAAUUUGAGAUACCCUUUACAAUCGCAAAUCUCACGCAUAUAGCUCAAAUAUUUGUUCCUCGCCUCACAUUUGAGCACCAUAAACCUUGGCGACGCAAAUGGCUUAUUCGCAAGAAACUCCCAGUCGAUGACUGUGAAGAGAUCACAGGAAUUACCAUCGAAAACUUUGUAGUUUGCCAACACAUAGUUAUUAAAAUUUGGAGGAUCUUCCCAGCACAAGCAUAAAUAGCAACCUGAUUGCACAUGCAUAAUUCGGAUCUUAUUUGUUGCAGUGCCCACCGGGAGAAGCUUGAACAACGUGCACGACUCCUUGGCUCGGCAUUCCUCCGGCUUGUCGGCGGCUGCAGAAAUCCAAUAGUUCCCUUUUGAGUUUCCAGGGGUGGAAACAUUUUUGACUCGUUUGCAGGCAGCUCUUUAUGUGCACCAACCCAUCUUCCCUACUGCUUUUGGCCCUCUCCACCUCAAAUUUUGUGUAUGGACUGCCAGCCAAAGUUUCCGAAAAUCUGAGAUACCCAUGGGAACUCUUAUGCAUAAAGCUCAAAUAUUUGUUCUUCGCCUCACAUUUGAGCACCAUAAACCUUGGCCAUGCAAUUGCCAUUUUCACUACCCCUCUCUCUUUCUCUCUUUUUUAAUCUAAACUUGAACGGAUAGAUGAGUCUCUACCAAUUAGCUUCUAUUUCGUUUCUUUCUUGCUUAUGCUUACCACAACCUCCUAGACUUCACAAUUUAUAACUAAAAUUUGGUUUCUAUAAUUUAUCACAUUCUUUCCCGCAUGUUCAAGCAAAGUACCAAAGGAGAGACCAAUAAGAAAAUGCAAUCCAUAAACAUUACAUCUUUUCAAAGUAAAAAUUAUAAAGUAAAAGUGAAUUCUGGCAUAGCAAAGUAGUCAAGUAAAAACAAAUAAAAUAAUUUUUGGUCCCUAAACUUUUCAACUAGGUCUACUUUGGUUCUUAAAUUUGGAUUUUGUCUGAUUAUGUGACUUGUGUUAUUGGAACAAGUCUUGGUUAGACAAACUGAGAACUAAUUGAUAUAACAGUCCGAACAAAGGGGUUGAACGAAUUAACUCGAAAACUACUUAAAAUUGGUUACAAUCGAAAACCAAGAUAAAAAUCAACUAUUGAACAAGUUGAACCAAUUUAAUAUUUUUUUUAUUUUUUUAAAAGUUUAUGAAUUUUUAAUUAAUUAAUUAUUGUUGGUCUAGCAAUUGAAUCGAUCAGAAUGAUUGAAUCAGGAAUCAUUAGUUUAACCUGUUCAACCAUCGAUCCUAUUAUUAAAAUACUAAAUGUGAAUUCUAUGACAUAACAAUGUAGAAUGCAAUCCAUAAACAUUACAUCUAUGUUAUUGUGCUUUGAUUGAGAUAAUGUUGCUGAAGUAAAGAAAAAUUAUUAUUUAAUAUUUUAAUAGUGGUUUUUUAAAUUUUACAAGUGAAAUUUUAAAAAAAAAUUAUCAUGCCUUUUACUUAGUUUUUAGUUUUUAAAAUAUUAUUUUAGAAUAAAUAAUAAUUUGGCAAAUAAUUAAAUCCAAGUGGAAUCCAAAAAUUGGAAAGGCUGUAUCACAUUAUUUCCAGGAACCACAGGGAAAAAGAAAAUUCAAAGUUGAAACAGUGUAUUCCACGUGGGGUUUCUCCAUCAAUCAAUGAUUCGCGAUUGCUUUUACUUUGGGAUAAACUAACUUCUAAUCUUUGAUUUUGAUAUUUUUUUUAAUUUAGUCCUUAACUUUUUUGGUUUACUUUAGUUUUAGAAUUUGAUAAUUUUUUUUAGUUUUAGGUAAUGUGAUAUGUUAUCACUUAAAAAAUAUAUUUUUCUUUUAGUUUUAGGAAUUUUUAUAUGUUUUUGUAGCACUUUUUUUAGUCUUGUUUAUACAAGUAACCUUAGUUUUACAAGUGAUUUUAUGGAUGGUUUUGUUGUCGUCCUCUCUAGUUUGGUGAAUGCUCUAAUCUUUUUUCGAUUUUUACCCGCCGCUUUAGAUCAUCCGUGGUUGAUUUCUUUUUCGCAUUAAGUGUUUGCAAUCACUCUAUAUAUGUCGUGCUUGAAUUGUGAUAAAGCCAAUUGUCAACAGGUCGAGUCAUGACACUGAGGCUAAAGUCUUUGUUGUGUUAUUUGAGCUUAUCUUUCACUAUUUACGAUAAGUGUUUGUUAUUUUUUUCUCUAAAUUAUAUGAUUCCCUUUAUUAAUUAAUAAAUUUACCUUUAAAUAUAUAUUUCUAUAAAAAUUAGAUAAUAACAUCACACCAUUUUAGAAUACAAAAUCAGGGAUCAAAUUUGUGAAAUUCUAGUAUUAAUGUAGACAAAAAAAAUCAGAGACUAGGUUGAGAUAUUAUUUAAUUUGCAGGCAGGUAAUUUGUGGGAGUCAAAGUAGAAACAGUGAGUAUUCCGCUUGAGUGAUCAAUGACGAUUUGGCUUAGUUCUCAAUUAUUUAGAGUUCAAACUUGUGUAAAAAUAAUGCUUUAAUCAUGUUUUUAGAAUUAAAUCGAUAGUUGACUAGGUUAAAUGAAUUCAUUAUCACUUUUUACAAAAGAAAAGUCAAAAUGGAAACAGUGAGUAUUCCGCGUGAGUGAUCAAUGAUGCGCUUUUCCUACUGCUUUUGCUUUUCCUGAGUGAUCAUCUUGCUGCUUUCACUGACUUUCCUACCAUAUUUCUCUUCUGCUGUACCCAAACUCUGUUCAAUCUCACCUUCUUUCAUGGCUUCUUCUGUUUUUGAUACCGACACCGCCUUGAGAUUAUUUGGUAGAAAAUUCUUUUGGGAAAAACCAGAGAAACCGAAUGAUACAAAAGUAUUUUCGACUAUAUCUAUUUAAGGGUUAAAAAACCUUGUUAUAAUCAAAAUCAAAUAGAAAAGGGAUAAUUCUAUACGAAUUUAACUUGUGUGGUAUGUCCAUAUUGCGAGGACUCAACCCUCGGUCCUUCACCUUCUCAAUCCUGGAGGAUUCGGAUCAAACAAGUCCCAGAAUCUACAUCUAUAUAAUUGAAAGACUUGCCUAAAAAAUGAACUGAGAGUUAGGCAACUAAUUAAUUUGAUAUUAAGAGAAUACGUUUAGAAGAGUGUUAUUUUUUAAGUAAACCCUAUUGUUGUGGUUUUAUUUUUUAUGAUCAUAAGGGGUGUUUCCAGUGGUGAGAAUAUUGUAUUUUCAAAGUGCAAGGGUGAGGGAAACAAUCGCGAUCUGUGUAAUUGAGUAAGUGCAUUUUGUAAUUGUUGAAGAGAAUGCAUAUUUCUCACUGACCUAGGGGCUCUGCAGAUGUAGGGAAAUUAAACUGUAUAAUUAUCUUUUUUCUGCUUUCUCAUUUAGUGCAUGGAGAAAUGCCUACAAACUUAAACAUCAAUUUCUUUGUGUAGUUAUUGCUCUUAGCAACAUCCUUUUUGCUAACAAUUUUUUUUUUUUUAGAAUUUGAACUAAAAUAACAAAUUUCAUAAACAUGGAGGACUAAAUUUAUUGUAUUUUUUAGUUUAGGAUCAAAUCGAUAAAAUAUGUAAACAUUAGAGUUAAAUUUAUUAUUAGAUCAAUAAAUAAAAAGCCCACGUCAGCACUUCCUUCAAAUUUCAAACAAUUGUUAACAUUUGGUGACCAAAAAAAUUUAUUUUAAAUAGUUUAGUGACCAAUAUAGAACGCGAGCACUACUUUAGUGACCAUUUUUAUACUUUACCCUAAAAUAUAUAAUAAAACUCUAACCUAAAGUAUUCAAAUUAUCAAGUCUAUUUACAAUCUAUACUAAUCUAAACUAAUAUUAAGUAUUUGAUAGAAUUGUUGUCACUCAUUAAUCGAGUCUCAACUCAGUUGUGAAAUUACCAAAAGUCCCUUAUUUUUAUAAAGUAAUAAAUACUAAAUUAAAAUAUGAUACAAAUUCUUGUACUCUUUGUAUAUUUGAAAUAACAAAAAAUUGAAGUUUUAAUGGACCUAAAUUUAAUAAAAUAAAUUUAAAAAAAGAAUUCUAGUAGUGUUCACAAUUAAACCUAAAUUUUGAAAUCUAAAAGGUAAAAAGUCCAAAUUCCUUACGAUAAAGUAGAGGGACUAAAUUCUAAAUAAAUUCUAAAUAUAAAAAGAGUACAACGACUUAGAGUAUAUUUUAACCUAAAUAUUAUAUUAAGGGUGUUUUUAUUCUUUUUAUAUUUUUUUAUAUAUACUAAAUAAUACAUGCAAUUAAUAGGAUUUGAAUUUUUUAAAUGUCAUGAUUACAAUAUGUUGACUUUACCAUUUCUAUCAUAGCCUCAUUUAAUUCUUAUAUUUUUUUAAUAAAUUUAUUAUAUAAUAAUUCUACUCAUAUCGUGAGUGUACUAUAAUUUAGUUUAUUAAAAAAAUACUAAAAAACUAGUGACUUAAAUAAAAAAAACUUUUAAAUAGUUUAAUAACCAUUUUGUAACUUUUUAAAAUUGGCUAACCAAAAAAUAAAGUUACUAAUAGUUUAAUGACCUUGGGUAUAAUUUACCCUUAAAAUUUUUAAAAAGAAAAAAAAUUCUAAUGGAAUUGGAGCUGAGUAUGGAUGAUUAUUUGAGCUAAAAUAAUAUCAAAGUAGGGAGUAAAUUGAACAUAAUAUAGAAUUUCAUGACUUGCUUGAUAUAUGCAAUUGGUAUGAAAUUGAGUUGGAACAUGUUGAAUUACAUAUUAAAUUGAUUAUUGUUUUUUGAAAUUAGCAUGUUAAAGCAUAAAUUGAAUGGCAUAAUGAAUUGGAAUUUGGUUACCCUAUUAGCUGAUCAGACUAUGUCGGACAUAGUUGGCAUGCCAUAAGGAUAGAGUAUUGAGUAAAGCCACCAUUUUCGAGCAACCCGGGGUGACAAAUUAAUUGAGUUGAGAAAAUCAUUAUUGUUGAGCAAUCAGGGGUGAUAUUAUAUUUUGAUAUAGUGUCGUCAUUGUCGGGCAAUCUGAGGUGACAGAUCCUUAUUGUAUCUGUACCAAGCCUGUGUUUAGUAAAUAGGGUUAAUAAUAAAAGAAUUGAUUAAAUGAUAAUGAAAUGAAAUGUUGUUGCAAAAUGAAUGUUAUAUGAGAAAAUAGUAUAAAGAAUCAUUAUGUUAAAAUGAAUAUGAGCUUAGACAUAUAAAAUGAAUAUAAAUUUUCAUGAGUUUGACUAUGAUUUGAAUGUAUGCAUUGCAUGAAUUUAUUUAUAUUGAUUUGAACUGUAGAAUUACCAUUGAGAAAUUUGCUUAGCGUACAAUUUGUUUUUCCGUAUGCAAGUUAAAUUCAGUUCAAGAUUCUUAAGCAUCAACUUUAGCAUCCAAAUGGUUAAUAUCUUAGUUGAAAUGGUAUAAUAAUGUUAGAUAUGCUAAUGAUCUUAUUGAUAUUGGUGUGAAAUUGAAUUGCAUUAGGGAUUUGUUUUAUUGGAAUGGAACAUUUGCAAAUUGAGAGUAGAGUGUAUACAUAUAUAAUUAUGUCUUGAAAUGAUGUUAAGGUAAUACAUACGAUAGUUGAAUGUCAUUUGGAUAUAUGGAUAGUUUUGGACCGGAAGUAUUUGAUGGUUAGAACGUGAUAUUAUGUGAUUAGAAAGUGUUAUGACUUAAUAUGGAACUCGCUAGGAUUGUCCAUUUGGCUAAAAAUAAGGUAGAAGUUGGUUACCCAUUGGUGUAUUAAAACUAUAGGUUUUGAGAAACUAUAAUUGCAAAAAUAGUAUGUGACGUCAUGACGUCUACCAUUUCUCGUCGUGACGAGGGUUGGACUCCAAGCUACAAUGCGACUAUGAACCCCGUCAUCCCGACGAGGCCAAGUUAGUAUGUCACAUUGCGACAAGAAACUAUUUCACGUCGUGACAUCAACCCUAUAAUUUGAAUUCUUUACAAUUCAGUCCCGGUUUGAUCUCGGAUUAGCUUAUGAGCUUUUGUAAGCUUGUAUAAUACCCGGAAAUGUUUAUUUAUCAUGUUGUUUACUUAUAAUGUUCAUAUUGAAUGUUAAACUGGAUUGAAAUUGUGUCUAUUUUUAUCGUGGUUGCUUCGGCAACGAAUGCGAUACACUAUAGUUUGGACUCAGUGAUCGGGUCAAAUAUAGGGUGUUACACCUAUAUAACUUUGCCUCGUUAUGUAAAAAUGCGAUACUCUUAGUCACAUCAUGUUAUCACCUAAAUUUUUUUUUACAGAAAAAUAUAAUUUUUAAAUGAUUAUAUAAUAUAAUAUUAAAGUACGACAACAUCACAUAGAUCUAAACUGAAAAAAUUUACCAAAUUUCAAAACUAAUGUGAAGAAAGAAAUGAAUGAUUAAAUUAAAAAAAAUAAACUUUUAUCCAAAAACAAAAGCAAUAGCAAUUUCAACUUUGGAAUUUUUUUUCUUCCCUAUGGGCCCAAGAAAUUAGGUGAUAGCGCCUGUUUUUUACUUCCCCGGUAUGUGUUUUAAUUUCACAAGAUUAAACAUUAUCAUUCUUUGUAAAACAUUAUUUUAAAUUUUAAAAAUAAAUGUUUUAAUUUCACUUAUAAAAUUAAAACUAAACACCUUGAAUAUCUAUAUUAUAUAUAAAGAUUUUAAUUAAAUUUAUGUCACUUGUAAUUAAUUCUCAAUUAAAUUAUUAAAUUAUCAAUAUAUUUUUAUUUUAAUAAAAUAUAAAUAGUAAUUGAAGGUUAUUUUUACCCUUUGAACAUAAUAAAAUUUGAAAUCAACCCAUCAAGUCAAUGCUGCCAAUAUAGUAGGUGUGUCAUGAGUCAUAUUUUAAUGUUAAAUAAUAAUUUAUCUUUUAAAGAAAGAAAAAAAGACUAGGCUCGUGGCAACACUUCUAUUAUGUUUCUCUUUUCUGCAAAAAGAUUCUCCCACUUUCGAUAUUCUAUUCUUAUAAAAAUAACGAUGGUAGGAUAUUGAAGUCAUUUUUUAUUAAAAAGUUUACUUUUUAACUUUUUAUUUCAAGCCACAUUAUUUGUUGUUUAGGGUUUAUUCUGUCAUUAUAAUUUACUAAAAAAAAAUUUCUUACUAUCAGCUGCUCCACCAGCCACAAUCGUCUCCACCAAAAGACCUCUCUAUAUACACUUUUUAAGAACCAUGCACCAUAUUUCAAGCCCUCAUCUCAAUCACUAACAGCUCUCCACCCUACAAGAGUGAACCGCUCCAAACCUUCACCAAUCUUCUCUAUUUUGUUGAAAUUUUACAUCAAUAAUUGAUCUAUUGAGCAUGAACUCACUCUUGAUAUUUAGAUCUAGUAAAUAAAAUGCGACUCUUUCAACAAUUGAUCAAAAUUACUUGCGUUCACAUGAUAAAAUUUGAUCUAAAACAGGUUAGGCUCUUCUAUUCAACAUACCCACUCACUAUUUUCACCCCUUUAAAUGCAAAGCUUGAUGACUUUGUACCUGUGUUGGGUUGGUCUCUUGCCAAGCAGUGAACUCCACUAUAUUUCGAGCUAUUAUUAAUACAUACGUAUGUGUAAAAAGAAGGACCCUUCUCCAUAUUCGAGAGCUCUGCAUAUGAGAGAGCUCCAUCAUGUGUUAGUGUGGCUUUAUUGCUUGAAAACUCAUUGCUCCCAUGCAAGUAAAUUUCUUUUAAUUGGAUUGCCUUGAAGUUCAUAUUUUGCUGUGUGAGUUUCAAAAACACAUUCUGGACACUAUAUUUAGAGUAUUUGAGCACACCACACACAAAUAUCUUUAUCUAUUCGCAUAUCAAAAGUACAUGAUAUUAUCGAUACAUAAUAAAAACAAAAGUGCACACACACAUUGGCUUCCAUGAAAGAAGCACGGUUUUAUUUAGUUUCCUACGUACACACCCUGACUGACUCAGAUCCUGUCGUGCCUUCCCAGUAGCAGUAGUUGCUCAAAUGGAAGAGCUGAGUGAUUCUUUUUUGGUUUGAAAGUCGAGACUGUAGUAAUUAGAACCCGUGUAAGUGCCGCCUUGCACUUCAGAUACAAUGUUGCCAUUAUAAAGAGUGUCCUUUUGCAUGUACGUGAACGGAACAUCACAUGUACCAUUUAUUGCAGUCAGAUUCACUGUCACCUUAGUCAUCGGAGGCACAACAAGUUUCUGCAGAACAUACACCACAGAGGUCACUGUCUUGGUAUCUUCCCACUCAAAUCCUGUCUGAGUUUCUCCAGAUAACACAUCAAUGCGCCCCUCAAAUAUUUUUGGAAGGCCGAAGUUCAUGGUAGCUUUUGGCCCUACCUUUAGUGAUACAUUAGCCUUCCAAGUACGAGUGUGGGUGUCUGUGUAAGAAAGUUUCAGCUCUAAAGAUUCGGAUUUCUGGGUAUAGUUACAAGCAGAAUUCGUCGCAAUCACAAGUUUGCUUUCGUCGUAGAUCCUGCAAUUACCAAGAUCAUACUUGAUAUCAUAAAUUGUCCUUUCCAAAACAGGCACUUCCACUCGAAGCUGGACUUCCUUUGUAAUUGAGGAGACAUCUGCGUUAAGGCAAUUAGUCUUUCCCUCCAUACUGAGGCUCUUGCAGAAGUUAUUGUUGCCCAAAUUGCGAAGAGCUAUUGUCCGGUUGUUAACUUUCAAGGGUCGAAACAAG
rnacentral:lncRNA from 1 species